rnacentral:lncRNA from 1 species
GCUUAUUAACGUCCAAUUGUUGAUUGAAGGUAUUGUCUGCAAUUAAUGCCCGUCAAUGAUGUUUAAAUGUGAUGAUGAUAUUUCAUCAGAAAAGGUAAUAUUGUUGAUACACUGCAGCCCUGAGAAAUCACCAGAGUGUUAAAUGCCACACGGAGGUCAGCAGUCACAUACAGAUGCUGCUGGGUGCUAUGCCAGACUCUCGCCCAUCAUCCCUGUUUGCUCACUAAGACUUUGCCAGCUCUAUGGAUGUCCAAGGUUGCCCUUAGAUCACUGAAGGAGCUGUUGUACCGUGUGCUGCGCAUCAUCUAGGAGCAGCAGCAGAGCUGUGGUGGUGCUCAGGGGUGGUGGGCCCUCCAGGAUCUGCUGGCCAUCAAGGAGCAUGUGGGGAAUACCAGGCAACCCUCCCGAGAUGCCAGCACCGUUGGUGCAAGCCUGGCUGUGUUACUGGUGCAGUCACCUGGGUUUAAGAGCAGCGUACUGCUGCUGCAUCUGAAGGAGAUCAGUAAGAGACACCAUCACGGACCUGCACACAGUUCCUGCAGCUGCUGUGAUGCUUCUCAGGAGUGGAGAUCCCCUGCAGUACCGGGGUCUAUCUGCACAGCCACCAAGGCUGUCUGUGAUUUGGGGAAACUAAGCAAUGCUGAAAAGGCUGAACCUGUCAUGCUGAAAGGGAUGAAAAGGCCCCGGCAGACCAGGAACCCUGCCAUACAUGAUGAGACAAUACUUGUUCAAUUAAGCAUCUUAUGCCUGUGUGUAUCUCUUAAUAUGCAAAAUCCCUGGCUCACCGUUAGCCUCUGCACACACUACCUGUCUUAAAAACCCUCAGACUGAGGGGUGGCCCUUCUGCUGGGGUCCACUUCUUCCUGGGCACUGGGGGUAACUUCAGCAAUUCUUUGAGUUAUUUUCUUCGCAGAAAACACAUGGAACAGAUGGGCAUAGGCCAGCAUCAAGGCUGGUGCCGCAGUCACAGAAAAGGAUGUGCCCUGCCCUUGUGAGAUAAACCUUCCCCCACCUCACAUAAAAUAAACAGUUGAGCUUCCAUUGCCCAAAGCUAGCUAUUAACAAGCCUGUUGUUUUGCAGUAGUACGUACAUGGAUAGGUAGGUAGAAAUAGCACAAUACCAAAGAAACUAUCCUCCAUAAAUUAUAGUGGCUUCUUCUGAAUUCUUGUUAAUGCUUACUUUAAACCUUGAUGUCUAACUCUUCUUGAACAUUCUUGUCCAGAGUAAUUAAUUUAUGCUUUGUUCUGAAAGCGUAUCAGUAAACGGGCAUCAAUGCUGAUAGCCAUUUAUUGCUCCAGCAGUGAGGUUAAACAGCUUGUGCUUUUAACUGCAUGGUACAAAAGAUAUAAAACUAUUUGCUUGAGAUAUUAAUCCAGGAUGACCUGAUGUAAAGUGACAGUAAAAGUGGCUUUCCCAAAGAUGUGAAAUAUAUGCUCUGCUCACUACCUCCUGCUGACUCUCUGCUCCAAGUGAAUAAACAUUCAGCUGAAUUCUCCCACCCAGGUGUGAUCCAGCAAUGAACUGGCAGCGCAUCCUUUUGUCUGCUAAUGCCAAUUCUAACUCACAGGAGCAGCCUACCACCGGCUCUGCAGCCAAAAUGCUUUCUCAAUUUUCUCAAGAAUCAACACAGAAAAUACCACAAGAACAUAAAAU